UUUACUUUCAGUUCUGCCAGAGAAAAUUCAAGGUAGACAGAGCGAGCUGUGGGGCAGGAGGCUGCUCUGGUCCCCUCUUAGCUUGGAACACACACCAGCACCAGCAGCCAGGCCAGCUGGGAGCCCCAGGCCAGCCCUACGUGAGCCCUGGGGCCGGACAGCUCAGAGAUGGGGAGUGAUCUGGGCUGGCCCCCGGAUGGGAGUCCAUCUAGAGGCGGCUGAGCUGAAUUCAUGUUGAGC